rnacentral:rRNA from 1 species
UACGUAGGGUGCGAGCGUUAAUCGGAAUUACUGGGCGUAAAGCGUGCGCAGGCGGUUUGUCGCGUCUGCCGUGAAAGUCCGGGGCUCAACUCCGGAUCUGCGGUGGGUACGGGCAGACUAGAGUGAUGUAGGGGAGACUGGAAUUCCUGGUGUAGCGGUGAAAUGCGCAGAUAUCAGGAGGAACACCGAUGGCGAAGGCAGGUCUCUGGGCAUUAACUGACGCUGAGGAGCGAAAGCAUGGGGAGCGAACAGG